GACUGGAGUUACAGUGCAAGGUAUUUAAUGGAGGGUCAUAAGCAAUGAAAUUCUUUGGGGAAUGAAAGACAUUCUCCCAAAGGUUAGAUGGAGAUGCUGUUUUCUGAAUCACUUUAAAAAGGUUGAUCUCACAUUAAUGGUUUCACAUAGCUCCUGGUCAAUGGGAGAAGUAAAAUUACAUAAACAGUUUUUCAGAUGUGAAACUGAGCCAUGUCUCUUCCAGGCAUCACACAGUGACUUAAUGUUGGUAUACGUGGGGCUGAAUUUAUCGCAUUUUCAACUUCACAUGUUUUCUAUGAGAUUAUGAUUCUCUUGUCCUGUCAUGACCGAUAUUUAUUGUGAAACAGUAGAAAUUAGAAUUCUAAUUUUUAUCACUGGAUUGCCUACAAGGUGAGGCACUGGAGUGAGCUCCAGACAGUCAACUUGACCAGGUAUCAUUUUUUUUUUUUUUUUUUGCUAUAAAUGUGAUAGUCUAUAGGCUAACUCCUGGUUAAUAUAAUGUAGUAUUUAUCAAAUAGCAUCCCACAUGAAUACUCCACUACUGUAAAGAUAUCUUCAGGUGAACUGAAUUUAGUGACUAGGCAUAUGGAAUAAUGAGGCCACAGGUUUUGUUACAGGAUUUGUUGUGUAAACAACCACUUUGAAUUCACAUGUGUGAUGGCUAAUGCUAAGUUUGAUCUUGACAGCAUCUAGAAUCAUCCAAGAGACAAACACCCAAGAAUAUCUCUUUGGGAGUCUCUAGAAUGAGUCAACUGAGGUAGGAGGGCCUACCCUGAGAGUGGCACCGUACUAUGGUCUGGUGAAUAAAAAAGAGAAACUGAGUUGGAAAUUAACAUUUAUGUCUCUCUGCUUCCUGACUUAGGAUGCAAUGUGGUGAGUAGCUCCUGAUACCAUGCCUUUCCUGCCAUGAUGGAGAGGAAGCCUUCAAACUGUGAGCCAAAACACCUCCCCCCAAGUUUGCUUUUGUUGGGUAUUUUGUGACACUAAUGAGAAAAGUAAGCAAUAUACUCAUAUCUACAACAAAAGUCCCCAACUUUUUCUACCUGGAUGGCAGAUCAUAAGAAGACAAUUUGAAGCUGUAGUUUCCAGAUGGCUGAAUGGGAGUGGGUAGGGUAGGCAGGAGCAGCCUGUGGAGUCCGAGGAGGUGGUAGGGCCCUGGCACUAGGAUCCAGAUGUUUCCAUAUUAGAUGCUGGGGAUGGAAGGCCAACUGGGACCAUUUGUUAACACUCAGAGAAGCAGCAUAUAAUAUGAUGUUCUCAGCAACCAUUUGCCAAAGAAAACAUUACCCAGUUGCAGAAAAAGACACCAUUAAAUGAACAAACCAAAUUGCUUUGCAGAUUAAAAUUUCCAGUCAGUCAGAUUUUCACAAAUAAAACUCCGUAACUCUUCUUUCCAAACAUUUUCCCCUUUGAGUUAGAUUUGUUAGGAAAAUCCUUGGGUUAUCAAGGCUCCUGUCAGCAGCGGUGAGCAUGCCUUAGAACGGCUGAAUCACUCUUUUGAAUUUGGGCCAUCAUUUUGAAGCUGGUAUUCAUAGACAAAAGAAAGGCUCUGAGACUCUCUGCAUUUAACUUUCAGUUGAAAACAGUGGAAAAAAAUCUGUAUCUAAAUUAACAGUCGGAUGUGCUGUCUUCUCUAUGGCUGGCAGGUCUGGUGGAGGACCUGUUUUUUUCACGUUUCUGUUGCUUUCAGACUUCAAAGAUAAGCAGCAAAUGGUUUCUAUUUUUUCUUCUCAUGGCCAAAACCACUGGGAGAAUCUUUGAAAAGCACUUCUCAGUACAGGAUCCCCCCCCUCCCCCCCUGUCUGCAUCGUGGUUGAAUCUUGCUUGUCGUACACAAUGGGAUUUGAGUAUGUUUUAUGUUUCCUGAUUAGUGGUUCUGAUUAACACAGAUGAUCAUUGGCAAUAACUGUUGCUAGUUUUUGGACUUCACAUAAACACACAUGAAUGUGGCUGACAGGAAAGUAGUUAAUAACAAGGCUGCAGUGUAGCCAAGCUACAUUGUCAGGGAAGAAAUGUAGGCUCCAUUCCUAGUCUGGCCUCUGAGGGAUCAUCGGAGCAGACAGGAGCUGGCCGCGUGGGAAACUGUUGCUUGGUGUUUUUGCCCUCAAACCAAGGAAGGAAUCAGAUUUCUAGUUCCAGAAUUAUACUUUUCCUUUAACAUUCCUUUGGGAUUUGAAGUAUGUAAUCAAUAACAAGGGUGUGCUUCUGGACCAUUGACUGUUGUUAUAGGUCUUUCUCAGCAGGAUGGAAGUUGGAAAAACAGUACACAGUUCGAUAGGAGUGUGUUGUGUCUAUCCGAUCAGAGUAUUUAUCAUGACAGAAGUUUGAAGAUGAGAAAACAUUUAAAAAUUUCACUUCUUCAUGGCAGGUGGCAAGCUGUCUUUGUGCCGGGUGGUGAAUAGGCUUCUCCUCACUUACAGAGGCCUAUAGGGCUGCACGAAAGAGGCCUUUGCUGACGAGACAGAAGCCGAGAUGCAGAGAUAAAGUCGUUGUCCUUGAGUUACGGACCCACACAGUGUCAAAGACAGGAACUCAGGUUUUCUAAUUCCCGGUUCUGUGAAACACCAGCUUUUAUAUUCUCUCUAUCUCAGUUUCAUAGUGUCUUCAGUAAAUCAGGCCCAAGAGCCACAAUACAAAUGCUGACUGUCAAACACCCGCACUUAACACACUGUAAAUGGGCUGUCAGGAUCCACAGGACAAGAGUUUAAAAUAAAUGUUCAGGAGUCUGAGUCAAGAAAGUGGACUGACCCAGUGCUUUUAAACCCUGCUCCCACCCUAAAUCUCCCAGAUGUGGUCAAGAGACUCGAAAAGCCUGGGAACAAUUCUGUGUAAGUUGCAGAAUAAGGAGGCGUGCCCUCCAUCUGCCAGAGGCAUCUCAGCAAGAAGCAGUGUAGACAAGCUGCAGAAGGAGUCCCAGCCAGCAGGGAAUCUGUGGAGGAGCCAGAACUGGCGUGAGUGUAACCCUGAACAGAGUGCCACACACAAGCUGUGACAGACAAUGACUGGAGCAAGAUUCUGAGACAAGCUGUGAGAGUUCCUUCCCAGCUCAGAUCUUCAUGCUUUCCCACUUUCCCCUAGCUACAUCUCUCAUCACUAGAAAUACUGUGAAGCCUUUCAGGAUAUGGAUGAAGGGUUACUUACAUCAGCAGAGAUGACUCAAAGACAGCUGCAUCACCAAAGCUCACCACAGCCGUGGUGACAAAACCUGGAAGCCUGGAACACAAGGCACAGCGUACAGGCAGCUCAACAGGUUGGAGAGUGUCCUUUCCAAGUGCCAUAGUAG